UUUAAAAAAUUUAUUUAUUUAUUAUAUGUAAGUACACUGCAGCUGUCUUCAGACACUCCAGAAGAGGGAGUCAGAUCUCAUUACAGAUGGUUGUGAGCCACUAUGUGGUUGCUGGGAAUUGAACUAAAGACCUUCGGAAUAGCAGUCAGUGCUCUUAACCUCUGAGCCAUCUCUCCAGCCCCCUUUUCUUCUCUUUCUUACAUAUUUGUGUUUUUUGUUUUGUUUUGUUUUGUUUUUGUUUGUUUGUUUGUUUGGUUUUGGUUUUGGUUUUUCAAGACAGGGUUUCUCUGUGAAGUCCUGGCUACCCUGGAAUUCAUUCUGUAGAGCAGGCUGGUCUCGAACUCAGAAAUCCACCUGCCUCUGCCUCCCAACUGCUGGGAUUACAGGCGUGUGCUACCACUGCCCGGUUACAUAUUUGUUUUUUUUUUUCAUUUGUAUUUAAAGUUUUUAUUUAUAUUUAUUUUAUAUAUGUCUAGGAAGUUUUGCUGGUAUAUAUCUAUGUUCAAUGAAUGUGCAGUUCUUGAGGAGGCCAGAAGAUGGUGUCAUUAUCAUCUAGUAGAUUCUAGAACCAGAGUUAUAGAGUUCAUUGCCACAUGGGUGCUGGGAAUCAAACCGGGAAACUUUGGAAGAACAACAAGUGCUCUUAACUGCCGAGCCAUCUCUCUAGCCCCUCCCCCCCUUUUAAAAUUGAGACAAGGUCUUGUCAUUUAGUGUAAACUGGCCUCAAACUUGCUAUGUAGCCUACAUUGGCCUCAAAGUUACUGUGCUCCUCCUGUCUCAUCCUACCAAAUAGGUGUUGGGAGCCGCCCCCACAUUCGCCGUUACAAGAUGGCGCUGACAUCCUGUGUU
rnacentral:lncRNA from 1 species